rnacentral:sRNA from 1 species
CUAAAAAAUAUUUUUUAACAUUUUCACUCUCCAAUAUUUCCUUGAUAAAAAUAUCGUUUUGGCAACAUGAUUCCUCAUUUCAUUUCCAGUUUCUUUGUUUGCCAAUUUUGUUGUUGUUGCUUGUGCACUUCAAUAUCGUAUGUGUAAUAUGCUCGAAAAUUAAAUUCAUGAAAACAAAAAUUGUUUAUUUACAAGUUUGUGUAUAGAGGCGCUUGUGUGUGCCAAGAUCAAGUACAUUGAAUGUGAAUUUUUGUUUUCCUCUCGUUACAUGUUGGUUGGCCGACAUGUUGGUUAGCAGAGGGCAGAAAUUGGUGCAAAAAUAUACAGCAAAAGAAAAGAAAAAAUAAAUCAGAAAUUUCAAUUGACUCGAUAAUCACCCUCAAUGUCGCACGUGAAUGAUUGAACAAUUAAUCAUUGAAAUUCAAAGAAAAAACGCUAAAGAAACAGCAGAUUAUCUCACACAAUUGGGGUGAUAACGAACGAAAACAUUAUGAAUGGAUGGUCAAUUUAUAUGCAAUGUCAAAAAUGCGAGGAAGGUUUGAACUCAAGAAAAAAAAAGUAAAAUUUUAGUAAAUAAUUUUACUGCUGACAUAACUAAUUGACAUUUGGAUAGGUGUAACAACAAAAACGUUUUUAUGCACCAAAUAAAUUUUUUAGUUCCAUGCAGCUUA